UACGUAGGGGGGCAAGCGUUGUCCGGAAUCAUUGGGCGUAAAGCGCGUGUAGGCGGCUGGGUAAGUCCGCUCUGAAAGCCCGGGGCUCAACCCCGGGAGGCGGGUGGAUACUGCUCAGCUCGAGUCCGGAAGAGGAGAGUGGAAUUCCUGGUGUAGCGGUGAAAUGCGCAGAUAUCAGGAAGAACACCAAUGGCGAAGGCAGCUCUCUGGGACGGUACUGACGCUGAGACGCGAAAGCGUGGGGAGCAAACAGG
rnacentral:rRNA from 1 species